UUGGAGGGCAAGUCUGGUGCCAGCAGCCGCGGUAAUUCCAGCUCCAAUAGCGUAUAUUAAAGUUGUUGCAGUUAAAAAGCUCGUAGUUGAAUUUCGGAAUCCAUCCGUCGGUCGGGCUUCACGGUCCGCACUGGUGUGAUGGAUUCCUACCUUCUGAAUAACCAGCAUGCUAUUAAUUUGGUGCGUUGGGGAAGCAGGACUGUUACCUUGAAAAAAUUAGAGUGCUUAAAGCAGGCUAGUGCCUGAAUACAUUAGCAUGGAAUAAUGAGAUAGGACGGCAUGGUUCUAUUUUGUUGGUUUCUAGGAUCACCGUAAUGAUUAAUAGGGAUAGUUGGGGGCAUUAGUAUUCAAUUGUCAGAGGUGAAAUUCUUGGAUUUAUUGAAGACUAACUUCUGCGAAAGCAUUUGCCAAGGAUGUUUUCAUUAAUCAAGAACGAAAGUUAGGGGAUCGAAGACGAUCAGAUACCGUCGUAGUCUUAACCAUAAACUAUGCCGACUAGGGAUCGGACGAUGUUAAUUUUUUAAUGACUCGUUCGGCGCCUUACGGGAAAC
rnacentral:rRNA from 1 species